CACUAUGCUAAACGAACCACACACUCCGAUAACGUCAAACAGUCGGAACUUCUAACAAAUGAAUAACAUAAACAGCUGCGACGACAAAUCAAUGUAAACACCAAAGUUUUCCAGAUCGAGUCCCGGUUCCGGACCCAGCGUACCCCCCCUACCAUGAGACGAACACCUUCACUCGUCUCCCUUAUUUUGGCCUACAUUAGCCCGUGCCGGCUGUUAUGCCAACUUUCCCCAUCAAUGAAAAUUUAGCCGGACAUUUCUCUCUUCAGAAUAUCUGCAAGUUGCUAUUUAUAAUUUCGUGCGAACCACAAGCGAAGCAAAGACGUCACGGAAAGUUAUGACCAUUUGCCACCGGGAGCACGUUGGAGGACAAAUAAAUUAUUAUGAAGCUGUGGAUGCUAUAACUUAGGUGGAACUUGGCGAGUCUAUGUCUGACUGGGCCAUUUGCUCGGGCGAAGGAAGAACGACGUGGAACGGACUCACUCAGUGAUUAAGUGGGCGUGGGCUGCGUCUUCGCUGUUGGACCCCGGUUUUGGUGGCUUUUCUUGCCAGUGGCCGUUUCGUCGUCGUGGGGGCCUCGUCUGUGGGUGGUCGUCUCGCCGUCGUGAAAUUGGCGCCAUUGACAAGUGCGCGGAAUUCAAGCACUAUGCGCUGAAAAAUGGGUGAGGUUACUCUAUUAGAGUUUCCUUUUUGUUGGGACCGGCAAUGAAAAACUUCAACUCGCUCUUGAGCACGGCACACCCACCGUUGACCGUUGACAAAGUCGAACUCACCUGUAUACAUUUGGGCAGGAACAACAUGGGCGCCGAAUUUCGGAACACGCAUACAUUUGCGAGGCGGGCACCGUUGCUGCUCACCUACACAGCUUGAUUUUUGUGGAUCAACGGCCCAAAUGAAGGCCAAGGACAAGGACAUGCGAUCCACUCUCCCUACUAUCUCUUUGGGAGCGAAUCGGGCGGCCAAUAGCGAUCGCCCCUUCUGGCGCCGUGGAUCGCAAGCUCGGCGAUAACUUACUUCGUUUCCAAGCAAUCGAUAAAAAUCGAUAUCGAUAUCCUGUUUUUUGGGCAAUUUUGGUAAAUAAAAAGAGCU